rnacentral:tmRNA from 1 species
GGGAGUGCAAAAAGAUUCGAUAGAAAUCUAAUUAAAAUAUGCCAGCCAAGGUGUUAGCUCCUUGUAAAACUACUAACAACAGAAAUAAGUGCCAACUUACUUUCUAAGGUAAAGAAUGCUGUGGCUUCGGCUUUCAGCGUUCCCAUCCUUGCUUACGCCUAAUAAUUCAGGCGUACAUCUAAUCGGAUGAUUCUCGAUAAUCCUCAUUAGGUGUUAUAUUCAUCGAGAUAGGCAUCAUUUUUUCACCAAGGGAAUAAUGCUAAAAUAAAACUUGGCAGUCUUUAGCUAAAUUUUUGUCCAAUUUUUAUUUGGCUUAAGAAAUUCUAAUUGGGCUAUGCUGGUAGAAAUAUUUUAAGAUGAUUUUUAGACGCAGGGGCAGAACCUGUCACUUCCACCU